CAAUAGCGUAUAUUAAAGUUGUUGCGGUUAAAAAGCUCGUAGUUGGAGUUCUGCCAGGUGCCGCCUGUCCGCCCCAGUGGUGAGUACGUGGCGCGCAUUUGGUCCCUUUCCUAAGGGGAGGCGUAUUGCACUUAACUGUGUGGUGCGGGAGUCCUUGACUUUUACUUUGUAGGAAAUAAAGAGUGUUCCAAGCAGGCUCUCGUCGUGCAUAGCUCAGCAUGGAAUAAUAGCAUUGGAUCUCGAUUCCAAACUGUUGGUUGUAGGAAACGAGAUAAUGAUGAAGAGGGAUAGUUGGGGGCGAUUCGUAUUUAACUGUCAGAGGUGAAAUUCUUGGAUUUGUUAAAGACGAACUACUGCGAAAGCAUCUGCCAUGGAUGUUUUCUAUUG
rnacentral:rRNA from 1 species